rnacentral:rRNA from 1 species
AGUUGGGAAUCUUGGACAAUGGGGGAAACCCUGAUCCAGCCAUGCCGCGUGAGUGAUGAAGGCCUUAGGGUUGUAAAGCUCUUUCGCACGCGACGAUAAUGACGGUAGCGUGAGAAGAAGCCCCGGCUAACUUCGUGCCAGCAGCCGCGGUAAUACGAAGGGGGCUAGCGUUGUUCGGAAUUACUGGGCGUAAAGCGCGCGCAGGCGGGUCAUCAAGUCAGAGGUGAAAGCCCGGAGCUUAACUCCGGAAUAGCCUUUGAAACUGUUGAUCUUGAGUACGGGAGAGGUGAGUGGAAUUCCCAGUGUAGAGGUGAAAUUCGUAGAUAUUGGGAAGAACACCAGUGGCGAAGGCGGCUCACUGGCCCGUUACUGACGCUCAGGCGCGAUAGCGUGGGGAUCAAA